AAAAGCAAUACAGGUCUGUAGUUCUUGCUGUGGUGUGGUCAAACAGAACUUCAGCCAUAAAGUUGCAAGGUCUGCACUAACUCCACUACCUAUUAUUCAGUUACCUGGUCAGUUGAGUUUUACGGAACAAGUUUUCCUGUGGGAGUACAGAGGAAAGCUCUAAUGUCAGCUAUGUUCACCUCUCUUGCAUGGAUUCAGAGGGGUUAAAGACAUUCCAGCAAGAGCUCUCCUCCAGCCCUGCCCUCUGCCUCUCACAGGGAGAGAGACUUGGUGUUCUGAGUGGAGCUGUGUUUGCCAGAGCAAAAGGCUCAGAUGGAGCAGAGAUUCCCCUCGAUUGAAAGAAUGAAUUUCCUGGAACUUGUGGCGAUGCUGGUGCUGAGAGAAGAAACAGGUACUGGGCUGAGCUUGGUUUAAGAAUUUGCUGAUCCACCACAGGUGAGAUACUAUCCACUGAAAUCUGACUCCUGUCUUCUGCUUUUGGAGACUUCUGCUGCCAGACAUCA